GCUGACUCCGGGACCCCUUUCCCCUGCAGGGGAGCCCCGGCUCUGUGGCUUCGGAGGAGGUGCACACCUCAGCAUGCCACACAGUGAGCCUGCCUAGCACCCCAAGUCCCUUCCCUCGCUGGCCCUCCCCUCCAGGCCUUUCCCACACACACAAAGCCUUCUGCGCAAGCCAUGCCAGUCUGUGGGCCCUGCCUUCCCUUGGGAAAAUGUUAAACUUGGUCAGUCACUGCAGACAGACUUCUUGCCCUCCUGACACGAGAACAUUCUCUGAGUAAGCCUCCUGGUUCGGGUAGGACACUGGGUUGUAGAGGAGGGCUGCAUUCCAGAACCCUCCCUCCCAGCACAUUCCUGAUGAUCACGGAAGGGGCGUAGGGGGCGGCUGUGUCUGCAGCCUCACCAGUCCUCACCAGCCCUCCCGGCCAGAUCCAGGCCAUGAGUCUGCCCUGCCGCCCUCCAUCUGGUCCGCUCCUGCUCAGCUCAGCGACCGCCAUCUGGGCCCCCUGAAGCAGCUGCGUUCCUGCCUCAGUCAGCACCUCCCCUCACCCAGCUCCCACUGGACUCUGACCCUGCUGAGAAAGAUCAGAGUUGCUCUUGGGGGCCCCCCCUUCCCAGGAGCAGGGGCGCCCCAGAGUGGGGGGAGGUUGGACAUUUUCCUGGCCUCCUCACACAAGGGACUCUGGGGACUUGAUUGCGUGCUGAAGCCUGCCGCUGACCACCCUCCCCGUCACAUUCUUUGGAAUGGCCGGCUGGCUCCGUGCUUCCCUCCUGCCCCCUCCCGGAGCUGGCCCGCAAGGCUUCUUCUCUGAGCCCUGGCCUCUCCCUGUAGUCAGAUCCCUCACAGCCCUUCCGUGGGGACCCUCCUGGGGGCUGACUUCCUGCACCACCUCCCACAACACCUUCCCUCCCUCCCCAGAUGGAGGCACUUCAGCAGCCCCUUAAAACAGCUGCUGCCUCCCUGACUCAGGAUUUCCAGCCUCCCUUGCAAGGCCAAACCACUCCUAGGGACCGGGCCCCCCGGAGGCUGAGGGAUCUCGGAUGGGCCACCCUCGACUCCUCCUCUUAGACACGACUUUCCCUCUUUCCUUAAACACAGCUGAGCUUCCGCUCUCUGGUCGGGGCUCCUUUGCCUUCCCCUUGAUGCUGACCCCACCUUCCAUCACCCCAGGGGAUGUUGGAGCCACCCACCCUCCUCUGGCAAAGUGGCCCUUUGGCCCAGGCUCUGAGUUAUGGCCUCAGAUGCCGACUCCCAGAAUGUCCACGUGUCACUCCUGACGGCUCUGGCGGCAGCGGUGGUGGAAGGAUCGGGGAGUCCUUCCCCCCAUUCUGUCCCGAGAGCCCAGCCUGUAACUCUCAUGCUGUGGCUCUCCAAGAAGAGAGGGGAAGACCUCCCCCACCACAGCAUUGUCUCUUCCUUGGCGUCAGACCCUCACCUCGGAGACGGCUUCAAGCUUGAUUUCAAGCAGCCCUGGGGACCGUUGUCUUUCUGCUGAUUGUUCCAGAUAUGAGACACCCCUCGGGCCUCAGGCAGGGCCUUGAAGGCUUCAACCAGACUCUGUUUCUUUGGCCCUACGCUGUCCCCUCUCAGCCCUGGCCACCCCACAAUCACAUGGAGUCCUUCUCCCUGAGUCUCGCACCCUGAGCAUCACUGUCUGGCCAGCUGUGACCUCCUCAGUGUCCACCAGGCCUCCUGCCACCAGCCCAUAAAGGCUGCAAAGCUUCACCUCCGACCCCUGCUGCCCGUGUGAGCCCCAUGCCGGUUGGCUACACACACCCGCAGUGGUCUGCUCGCCGGACCUGCCAGGAGCCCAGCAGCUGCCUUUUUCCCGUAUUUCCCUUUUAGCCCUCCCACUCCUGACAGCCCUGGGGACUUAUUAAGACAAUGCAAUGUCAUUAGCAGUGGUACCAGGAAGAGGGGUUGUCUCAGACUGUCAGGUUACCAAGAAGUGUGGGUGUGGGCGGAUGGUGCUGGGAAAGCAUUGACGGGCCUGGGAGCCCUCGUGGAGGCCGGGGACGCCGGACGAGACCCCGUGGCCCUUUCCUUCUUGCGAGGGAAUGAGCUCAUAAAGACUGGCACAGCUCUCCCAUGACGUACCCCACUGGAAGGGGGAAUGCAGAUCAAGGCUUGGGUGCACGGGGCCUGAGCUGGUCCCCAGCACAGGGUCGGAGCAGGGGAUGGCAGACAGGGAAGUCAGGGCGAGCCAGAGCGCACUGGAAUCAGAGCCAGGGGAGCUCUGGGAACUGCUCCUGCACCUGCAGGUCAAGGGUCAGUCGGCAAAGGCUCCACGAGCGCCCCCUGCACGCUCCAGGUGGUGGACCAACCGUGCAGAAUACAGAAGCGUUGGGCAGGUUCUCAUCAAAGCAGAUCAGGUAGCUUUGGUGCCACGGACUGAGUGAGGCCGGAAAAGCAGUACCCAGCACUCACUAAGUGAUGCUGAACGGGGGUGGGGAGGGAGUGGUGGUGGGGAGAAGGGGCUCCUUGCCCCAAAGUGACCUAGCUCGAGGGACAGUAUUCAGGUCAGGUGCUCUGAAAGGUGAGGGCCAAGGAUAAGACCUGGGUGGACACGGAAAGGUUUGUAGAGGAUUGCCCUUGAAGUUGACCUUGAAGGGCGGAGGUGAGGAGUUGGGAGUGGGAGACAUUUCCAGCAGUGCAGUUUGCCAAAGUAAACUGAGAAAGAGGUGCAGGGAGGAGGGGGGCCGGAACGAGGGUUCAGGGCUGGGGAGGAAGGAGCACGCACGCGGACAUCUGGGCUUGGACCUCUAGUGGGAGCCCAGAGAUGGCACACUGGUGUCCAAACACGAGAUCUGCAGAGAAAGGGAAGGAGACAGGAUUUACCAAGCAUCCAUUUCAUAAUACGGCAGGCUCUGCACUGGAAGGAGGGAUAGCUAGAAGUCUGGCUCAUGCCUCCCGGUGUUCAAAGACACAGAGUUGACCAGUUCCCCAGAGCGUUGUCUGCUGAGGGACCAGCAUAUAUGUCUAGUGGGGGGGCGAGGGGGCAGUACUCCGGGGAGGGGAGCUAGCAAGUAGAUGGGUGAUCUUUUUUUUCCAACUUUUACAGAUAUAAUGGACAUAGAGCAUAGAAGGCCAAGGUCUACGAUGUCAGGAUACCACACUAAUGUGUGGUAGUGCACACAUUAACACACCCAUCGCCUCAGAUGGUUACAUUGUGUGUGUGUGUGUGUGUGUGUGUGUGUGUGUGUGUGUGGCAAGAACACUUCAGAUCUACUCUCCUAACAACUUCCAAGUAUACAACGCGGUAUUGUUAACUAUAGUCACCGAGGGUUCCCCGAACUUAAAACUCAGUUAGUAACUGGAAGGGUUAGCUCGUGAGGGCCUUACAAGCCAUGCCAAGGAGCCAGUUAGCACAUCGGCCAUCGGACAGGAGCAGCCUCGAGAGAUUUUUAGUGGGACCACCAGACCUCCAGUCCCAAACAGAAGGGACGAAGAGUUCAGCUCCUGAGAUUCAAGCUAGAACACUUUCUGGCUAAACUUAGGCCUCCUCCUCAAACAAACCAGAUGCAUGAGGAAGCAGGAGUACAAGAACCAUCAUCUGCAAAGCCAACUAGUUAGAGGGAGGUUUGGUGUAAGCACACUCCCCAGAUGCGAACACUCACAGAACACCAGAGGUCAAAAUGGUGCAGCCCAGCCCCCCAUUUUAGAGGUCAGGAAACUGAGGCCCGGGGCACCUAAGGACCUGGUCCAGUUCUUGGAGCCUGCCUUCCCCCGGGCCUGCCUCUGCCAAUGGGCCUGUACAUUAUAUCCACGUGCACAGGUCGUGACAGGGAUGAGGAGGAGGUAUGACCUUAGAAGGCCAUUCUCUCUCUGUCCUUGCUUUCCUCAUCUUGAGCAUUAAGUGUUUAAUUGAAAUCAGUAUUUUCAAGGUCCCAGCAAGUGUACUACCAAUAACAUAGGUGGCCCGGCCCACUGACUCAACUGUGAAUCAGAACAUACUAAUGCGAUCCUGGUAGACCAGAUGAUCUCUAAAUUUUUUUCCAGGACUAGCUUAUCAUGGGCUUUGCAGCUCUACUCACCCUCCCCCCUGCUCCCAGGAAAGAAAAGUCACAGGGCCAGCCAGCUCCUGCUUAGGGCUGAGCUCCUCCCACGCCUGCCCCUGUCUUCUGGCCCCAGAGGCAGAAAGCUGGCCACAAAUGCUGACUAUUCUGGUCUACACUUUCUGAGGCAGCCCUCCUGGGCCACAGGCUGGGAGUCCCUGGUUGGAAAAUCAACCUUUCUCAACCUCAGAAUAGCUUGCAAAUAAAACCCUACCCCGGAUGGCUCCCCAGGCCUCUUUGCCCCUCAUGGCCUGAUACGUUUGGGAAAGUCGCUUGACUUCCCUGAGCUUCAACUCAUCCUCUCAGUUAGGCAAUUAUUCUAACUAUGUUGAAUCUAACUCAUUUGAACCCAGAUUCUCUCAUCAGUCCUAGACAAUAGUAACUAAUGUCUGGCCCUUGGUUCACUUCUGCACAGAGAGGUUAAGUACCUUGCUGAAGGUCACCCAGCAACUUAAUGGUGGGUCCGCAGCGACAGCAGGGACUCCCAGACACCCCCCGCCCCCCGCCAUGGCAGCCCUGCUCCUACACCACAACUUGCCUCUGAAUGAA